rnacentral:rRNA from 1 species
UACGUAGGUGGCAAGCGUUAUCCGGAUUUAUUGGGUGUAAAGGGCGUGUAGGCGGGAAUGCAAGUCAGAUGUGAAAACUCAGGGCUCAACCCUGAGCCUGCAUUUGAAACUGUGUUUCUUGAGUGCUGGAGAGGCAAUCGGAAUUCCGUGUGUAGCGGUGAAAUGCGUAGAUAUACGGAGGAACACCAGUGGUGAAGGCGGAUUGCUGGACAGUAACUGACGCUGAGGCGCGAAAGCGUGGGGAGCAAACAGG